GUGCCAGCAGCCGCGGUAAUACGGGGGGUGCAAGCGUUGUUCGGAUUUAUUGGGCGUAAAGCGCGUGUAGGCGGUUUGUUAAGUCUGUUGUGAAAGCCCUGGGCUCAACCCGGGAAGUGCACUGGAUACUGGCAAACUUGAAUACGGGAGAGGAGAGUGGAAUUCCUGGUGUAGGAGUGAAAUCCGUAGAUAUCAGGAGGAACACCGGUGGCGAAGGCGGCUCUCUGGACCGAUAUUGACGCUGAGACGCGAAAGCGUGGGUAGCAAACAGGAUUAGAUACCCUGGUAGUCC
rnacentral:rRNA from 1 species